UCGGGGAUCGUCUAAUGGCAGGACUGGAGACUCUGAAUCUCCCUAUCUAGGUUCGAAUCCUAGUCCCCGAACCA
rnacentral:tRNA from 1 species